AUGCCCUGUGAUUAUAAAAAGACGCGUUAUUCUGAGGGUGAAAACCCGCUGCCAGCUCUCUCUUCAGUCUUGUCUUUUUAUUCAUCCCUUUCCUCAACUCUUCCCACCGUCUCUCCCCUCCCCAUCUUAUUGUUUCACCUCUUUACUGGCAACUGGUCCGCUGAACGUGAUUAUGAGAUAUGAGGGCAU